CAUGCAUAUGUAAGGAAGCUCAAAUUAUGGAAAUCCCAUGUUCUGGAGGCUAGAUGCUUCCCUGCUCCAACACACCUGAUUCAAAUGAAACAGAUUCAACAAACUGUUGUUGAGUUCUGCACAAUGACCCAUUACUUUGAAUCAUGUCCAUUGCUUAAACUCUGCUCCCC